rnacentral:rRNA from 1 species
ACGGAGGAUGCAAGCGUUGUCCGGAAUCAUUGGGCGUAAAGAGUUCGUAGGUGGCAUAUCAAGUCCGAUGUUAAAGCCCGGGGCUUAACUCCGGUCCGGCGUUGGAAACUGAUAAGCUUGAGCAUAGCAGAGGCAAGGGGAAUUCCCAGUGUAGCGGUGAAAUGCGUAGAUAUUGGGAGGAACACCAGUGGCGUAAGCGCCUUGCUGGGCUAUUGCUGACACUGAGGAACGAAAGCCAGGGGAGCGAAUGG